rnacentral:rRNA from 1 species
CCUACGGGUGGCAGCAGUGAGGAAUAUUGGUCAAUGGGCGCGAGCCUGAACCAGCCAAGUCGCGUGAGGGAAGACGGCCCUACGGGUUGUAAACCUCUUUUGCCGGGGAGCAACGGGCGCCACGUGUGGCGCCACUGAGAGUACCCGGAGAAAAAGCAUCGGCUAACUCCGUGCCAGCAGCCGCGGUAAUACGGAGGAUGCGAGCGUUAUCCGGAUUUAUUGGGUUUAAAGGGUGCGUAGGCGGAGCGUUAAGUCAGUGGUCAAAUUGAGGGGCUCAACCCCUUCCCGCCAUUGAAACUGGCGCUCUUGAGUGGAAGAGAAGUAUGCGGAAUGCGUGGUGUAGCGGUGAAAUGCGUAGAUAUAUGGAAGAACACCAGUGGCGAAGGCGGCUCUCUGGUCUGCAACUGACGCUGAGGCUCGAAAGCAUGGGUAGCGAACAGGAUUAGAUACCCCUGUAGUC